GAUCCUGGCUCAGGAAGAACGCUGGCGGCGCGCCUAACACAUGCAAGUCGAACGAGCGAGGAGAGAGCUUGCUUUCUCGAGCGAGUGGCGAACGGGUGAGUAACGCGUGAGGAACCUGCCUCAAAGGAGGGGGACAACAGUUGGAAACGACUGCUAAUACCGCAUAAGCCCCACGACCCGGCAUCGGGUAGAAGGAAAAGGAGCAAUCCGCUUUGAGAUGGCCUCGCGUCCGAUUAGCUAGUUGG
rnacentral:rRNA from 1 species